GAUGAGCCCUGGCGGCGUGCCUAAUACAUGCAAGUCGAGCGAACAGACGAGGAGCUUGCUCCUCUGACGUUAGCGGCGGACGGGUGAGUAACACGUGGAUAACCUACCUAUAAGACUGGGAUAACUUCGGGAAACCGGAGCUAAUACCGGAUAAUAUAUUGAACCGCAUGGUUCAAUAGUGAAAGACGGUUUUGCUGUCACUUAUAGAUGGAUCCGCGCCGCAUUAGCUAGUUGGUAAGGUAACGGCUUACCAAGGCGACGAUGCGUAGCCGACCUGAGAGGGUGAUCGGCCACACUGGAACUGAGACACGGUCCAGACUCCUACGGGAGGCAGCAGUAGGGAAUCUUCCGCAAUGGGCGAAAGCCUGACGGAGCAACGCCGCGUGAGUGAUGAAGGUCUUCGGAUCGUAAAACUCUGUUAUUAGGGAAGAACAAAUGUGUAAGUAACUAUGCACGUCUUGACGGUACCUAAUCAGAAAGCCACGGCUAACUACGUG
rnacentral:rRNA from 1 species